rnacentral:rRNA from 1 species
UCUUUUUGUUUUUUAUAUAAGGUCAGACCUGCCCAAUGAAUUUUAAAUGGCCGCAGUACUUUAACUGUGCAAAGGUAGCAUAAUAAUUUGUUUUUUAAUUGGAAACUAGUAUGAAUGGUCAUACGAGGGAUUGACUUUCUUUAUCUUACUUAAAUUAAUUUUAUUUUUCUGUGAAAAAGCAGAGAUUUCAUUAGUAGACGAUAAGACCCUUUAAAACUUUAUUCAUUAUAGAAGUAUAAUUUUGUUAGGUUUUAAUAGUGUACUUUUUUAAUGAGUUUUGUUGGGGCGACAGGUAAAUUUAUUUAACUUUAUUUUUGUUUUUCACUAAUUAGUGUUUAUUUGAUCCAGAUUUAGUUUUGAUUAAAAGUUUAAGUUACUUAAGG